AGGGAUGAAAGGUGUUGACGUUAUAAAUAAAAAAAAUAUAUAUUUAGACAUGAAUUUAAAAAAAACGUAAAUAAUAUAAAAAAAAUUUAUAAUAUAAUUUAAAAAAAAAAUAAAUAACUAAUUAAUCAUGUAUUUUUUUAUUUUUUAAAUAACGGAUAUGGGUUCAAUUCCCAUCAUCUCUACCA
rnacentral:tmRNA from 1 species